rnacentral:rRNA from 10 species
UAAGUCUCCUGAAGGAACGUUGAAGACGACGACGUUGAUAGGCCGGGUGUGUAAGCGCAGCGAUGCGUUGAGCUAACCGGUACUAAUGAACCGUGAGGCUUAACCUU